rnacentral:rRNA from 1 species
AACGAACGCUGGCGGCAUGCCUAACACAUGCAAGUCGAACGAGACCUUCGGGUCUAGUGGCGCACGGGUGCGUAACGCGUGGGAACCUGCCCUUAGGUUCGGAAUAACUCCCCGAAAGGGGUGCUAAUACCGGAUAAUGUCUUCGGACCAAAGAUUUAUCGCCUUUGGAUGGGCCCGCGUUGGAUUAGCUAGUUGGUAGGGUAAAAGCCUACCAAGGCGACGAUCCAUAGCUGGUCUGAGAGGAUGAUCAGCCACACUGGGACUGAGACACGGCCCAGACUCCUACGGGAGGCAGCUGUGGGGAAUAUUGGACAAUGGGCGAAAGCCUGAUCCAGCAAUGCCGCGUGAGUGAUGAGGGCCUUAGGGUUGUAAAGCUCUUUUACCCGGGAUGAUAAUGACAGUACCGGGAGAAUAAGCUCCGGCUAACUCCGUG